AUAUAUAUAUUCUUACUGAAAAUGUUCAGUUUACUGAUUGUUAGUGUUUAAUGUAUUUAGAGCAUACAAUAUAUUAGGUAGAUAGAUAUCUGAAUUUUAUGAUUGUUUGAGAAUCACAUUUGUCGCUUUUCUGUUCGGGGGCAAAAAUUUCUCACAUUUACAAUCUAAAUUCACAGAGCUUCAUUUUGGCCCAUACUUUCAGAGAUUUCAGUCCCCCUGGUGGAAAAGCAUCACAGAGGAAAGCUGCUACACUCAUGGCAUUUGGAAAGCAGAGCAGAUUACAAAGAGCCAAAGAAAAAAGUUUCAGUGACUAAUAUAGUCCGCAAGGUUAUGCUCUCUUGACCCAUUUUCUUAAACUAUACCCCAAGUCCUAAAAGCCCAUUCAAGUACAAACUCAGUUUUAAUGAAGUUACUGCCCUCACAAUCUAACACCUCUCCAGGGGUCUCUCAGUCCAGUCAAGACUACAGUGAAGCUCAACUGAUUGAAGACUAUCACUUUAUCAAUUUGACACUUAAUUACACAUCUUUAAACUAUGAUUAAUUUCUCAAUAACCUUAUAUCUUUCAAAUACAUUUGAUCUUCAAAUACACCAUGACCUCAUUCUUCUGCUGGUUCUGCUCCUUGCUCAUAACUUUUUGGACCAUGUUCCAUUUUCCUGGCAUCUCCAAGUUUCUGUGGUAUCCACUGCAGCUUCACUCCACUCCCAGGGACUCAGCAGCCUCUCAGGAUCUCGUAGCAGGCAGGGAUGCUGGUCUUAUAGUAUUUUUGCUCCACCAGACCAAUUAAUGCAUCAUCCUUGAACUCCACCUUACAUAAUUUUAGCGUGUGGAUAAACUGUAGAAAAAUGAUUUGUAAGAAUAUAGCAUUUUGGUCUCUUGUCCAAUUGUCAAAAGAAUUCUCUUUUUCCAUCAGAAGUCUAAAGCUUCUUGAGUACAAUUUUUAUUCUAAAUUCUGUUUAACAUUCAGAGCUUCUGAGCUACUGUGAUAAUCAUCUAUCAGUCUCUGUUUAUAGCUUUCUAGGAGUCUGAAGCCCACAUCACCAAAUCACACAUUCCUCCUGAGAAAUAGUUACAAAGGCUUCUGAGCCCCAUGGUCAUGUGUGGUUACAGUAAUGACCCCACUUCUCUAUUGGAAAUUUUCUGAACUGUUCACUUUUCUGUUGUUGGACAAAACUUCCAAACCUCAUAAUUUAAAAGAAAAGCUUAUUUUGGUUCACAUUUUCAGAGUUUUCAAAUCAUGAUUGGUUAACUUUAAGGCUCAAAUAUCAUGGCAGUAGAGCAUUCACAGGAAGACAGCUCAAAAUAUCCCAGAAGGGUGGGAGAACAGGGCAAAGCCAAAGAGAGUUGAUGGACAGAUGCAGUCCCCGAGGUCCUGUCUCUGUGGCCUGCUUCCUCCAGCCGGACCCACACCCUAAAGCCCACUUCGUUGUAAACUCAAUGAUAAACUCACCCAUUGAUGAGGUUGAUAUCCUCACAAUCCAAUCACUUCUUUCAAAGUCUCUUCAUCUUUACAAGUUGGUAAUGCAGAUGAACAGACACAAUUUUAAAAGAAUAAAUACAUAUAUAUAAUUUAAUAUAAUAUUGUGUAUAUAUCACCAAGUAAAAUCUUUGAAAAAUUAACAGUUAAAUAUUAGUCCCAAUAGGAUAGUACUUGUUAGUGGUUCUGGCAGUAUGUUAAGAUUAAAAUUCAGUAAUUUUCUUUAUAUCACAGAAACAACUGACUUUUCAUUGUUUAUCUUUUUGUUUGUUUGUUUUUGUACCAGGGAUUGAACUCACCACCUUGCACUUGCCAAGCAGGUGCUUGUGCUGCUGAGCUAAAUCCCAGCUCAUUGUUUAUCUUUUAAUCAACAACAUGAGUGCUAAUUAAACUAGUAUUAUUGAAUGUGGAAGUAUGGAGUUUAAUUUAAAAAUGUCAGCAUGAUUUCUUCUUGUGUAUGUGUGUAUAUGUGUGUACCAGGCAGAGUAUCAAACUUAAAACCUCGUACUUGCCAAUCCCCAGUCCCAACAUGAUUUCAUUUUAUUACUUUUCUUUUUUACUAGAAAGCAAAAGUACUAUGUUAAGUGACAUAUACAGCACUUUUGAAUUUAUAAUCACCUCUGCUCCGUAGCAUCAUAAUUAUGUGGUAGGUAUCUUGUAAUUUUAACAUUUGCUAGGAAAAAAUAAUGGUCUUAUACGCACUCUUAUUGUGUUUACCUGCAUCAUAAAUUUAGAUGCCUCUUUGUGCUGCUAAAUAAAAAUUUAAGUGUGUAAUUUAAAAAUAUUUGCUUUAUUGUCAACCACUUUUUUCUUUUAAUAUGUUUGCUUUUGUAGUCAGUGUACUGUAUUACCUGAUAUGUAGUGUACUUCUAAUCGUCUAAGUUAUGUGUUAGACUGAAUAUCCCUCUCUUCGUUAUUCCCGUCCUUUGACCUGAGCUCUGUCUGGUCAAAUGUGGCCAGAUGCUACUGCAGUGAUGACACAGGAAGACAUUUUGUGGCAUGAUGGCAUUUCCAAUAGGUCUCUGCGACCCAGAGGAUUAGAAUUUAUUGGACCUUUUCUUUUUCUUCCACAAUGUUGGUUUUCCUAUUACAUGAAUAAAGCAAACAUUAUGCCGAAAAAGGAAAGAAAAAUAAAUAUCUUUAAUCAUUGAAAAUGACAAUUUUAAGGAAAUAUUUUUGUAUAAAAAGAACUAAGGCAUUAACAGAUAAUGGAGCAGGCUAUUAAUCUUGAGCUGUGUCUUUUGUAGUGCUAAAACAUCAAUUUCUUUUCAACGAUUAUUAGUUCAUUUUUCUACAUCCUUUAAAAGCUGAACUAUAGAUAAACUUCACAGAAAGUUUUGAAAAAAAAUAUAUCAUGGCUUUAAAAAUGAAUCUGAAAUCUCAGAUCAGCAGUAAAGUAAAAGGAAUUACAUCUGAAGCAAGACCCAGAUGGAGGUCACUAGCAAUUUUCUUAGUUUUUUUUUUUUAAUUAAACUACAAAUACUAUAAAUAAUCAUUCAUGGAACUUGAAGGAAAUAUGGCUUACCUAAUAUGGUGACCCUGAAGUGACAUUCUGGAUCUAAGUUGCAAUUUAUUGCUAUAAAUAGGAACUAAACAACAUGCUUGCUUUGAUGGGAGAAAAGUGAUACUUAGUGUGUCAAAUAGAGCUGACUAAAAGUAAUUUAACCAUAAGUGAAAGCUAUUUACAUACAGAAUCAAGGUAUUUAGCUAAUAAACUGCAUGUAACUAUUUUUAGUAAGCAUUAGUUUGUGGGAAUAUAGCUCAGUGGAACAAUGCCUGUCUGGCAAGCAUGAGGUCCUGAGUUUAAUUCCUGGUACAAAAUAAUAAUAAUAAUAAUAAUAAUAAUAAUAAUAAUAAAAGUUUUAGAAUUUAUUUUUUAAUUUUAAUGAGAUUAGCACUUAGAGCAAAAUUUACAAUAUGCAAAUGGCCGCUGAAACACAGUCACAUUAUCUUUCUUUGUAGCAGUCAUGUAGUUUUUUCCUGUUGGGGCUUUGUUCCCACCUCUUGUCCAUCCUUUCAGAAGACUCUGUCCCAAGUGUCAGAAUAGGACUAUGCGACCACAGUAGCUUCACACUAUGCAAGCCAGGGACAUCAUCUUCAUAGGCCAGUGACAUGGUACAGCACAGGAAAUGGUAUUAACAGAAACACACUUAAAAGACUGUAUGGAAAAUGUACUCCGUUAAAGGCCUUUUUCAUUCCACUAAUUAAUGGCUAAGAUUGGGUUCAGUAGUGAGAAUUAUAUGCAGUUAAUUUGGGACCUCUUGGAGGAUUCUGUAGUUCAUUACUAUCUUAUCAGGCCAUGAAAUUCUUUUGCUAUAUGAAGAAACAGUAUGUUAAUGGUUUCAUAACAAAUCCUUUAGAAUAUAACAUCAUUUGGCAACUUUUGAUGUUCCAAAUUCAUGAACAUACCAUCUGACCACUAAUUUUUGCACUUAUUUUUAAUAUAUGUAUAUAUAUGCAUGCAUAUAUUACAUUUGAUAUUUUCAUAUAUGUAUAGAUUUUCAAAGGCCAAUGUGUUCAAUAAUCAUCAUGCAUAUUUAUUAUUUGGUGGUGAGAAGAUUUAAGUUAAUUCUCAGUGAUUGUGAAGUAUACAAUAUUUUUCACUAUAGUCACUUACAUGUUAAUGUCUAGAUCUCUUGGACUUACUUCCUUUGUGUAGUGAAAAUUGGUAUCUUUUGACUGACAACUUCUCAUUCUCCCUUGACCCAUAUGGAAAUUAUCAUUAUAUUAUGGCCAACAUUUUUAUUAAAUGUAGAUGUUUGAUAUUUAAAGCAACUUCCUUUUUAUUGAUAUUAUUUGACUACUCACAAUGCCACACAAAACAUUGCUAUGAAAUGUGACUGAAGAUAUCAUGACAACUUCAUUUUACUAUCAUUCUUUACUUCACGAGUUACAUUUCCUCUUGUUACUUUAUUGUUUGCCUGGACAUUACCAUUGACUUGCUUAUGCCUCUGGCUCCUCAUACUAUUUUCUACUUUAGAAAAAUGAUAAAGUAACUUUUGAAGAGAGGAAUCUUGUGAUACUAAAACUUUGUCUUCAGGUGCUUUAAAUGGACCUCAGCAUUUACAACACAAGUUACUAUGUGUUGUGUUGUAUAAAGUUUCUUUAAUUCACCACAAUUACUUCUUGAACCUACUCAAUUUCCACAGUGUUUGGUUUUUGAGAAGGAAUGCUUUAAAUAGAAAACAAUGUGCCCAGAAACACACUAUCAUGAAACUACAAGCAUUUAUAAUUGGGAUAACUAUCCAAAAAUAAAGUUGGAAUCAGAAACUAGACACUGAUUUAUAUCCGUGAAAGACAAUCAAGCAUUUAAAACUCUAAUACACUUUCCAUUUAGCUGAAGCUCUUUCCUGCUAAGCUUACUUCAAAAUCAAGAUUGAGAAAGUUGAUGUCUGUUAAGCAUUCUUCUAAGAGUGAAAAAUAAUACUUUCACAGGAUUUAAGUCUAAAAGCUUUGUUACCCCUAUGUUUUUUUGAAAAAUUGAUUAAUAAAAUUUAAAAACAUGAAGGUUUCAUCUACUGGCAAAGAUUUUCUCUGUGCGGCCUUUUUAGUUACUACUCAUGGAUAAUCAGAUUUUAGCUGUUCACUUAGAUCAUUGUGUGCUUGACUGUUACGGAAUUUCAGACACUGAAGCAUAAAUCAUUUUCAGAUAUCAUUGACUCAGCCUCCAGUGUCUUUCCUUUAACUAAAAAAAAUUAACAUCAAGAUUCUUUUAUUGCAUAGGUUGUUGAUGUUUCUUUUAUCAUGAUAUUGAUUAUAAAAUAUAUAAAAAUAAAUUAGUUUGAGUGUUAACUGUAUCUUUUACUUUUUCACUCUCUUAGGAAAGAAAGAAACAUGUGUUUGAAACUAUAGUCGAGCUAUUUUUAAGUUGUUAAAACUUGGUAGUCCCCACUUGGUUAAUUAUGACUUGUAGUCAAUUACUUAAAGAAAUAUUGACAUGGGACCAGAGAGUAAUGAAAGUGCAGCUUUUUCACAUCAAGGGUUGUUUUUCCUGAAGAUUUUCUGUAGAAAAUAAUUGGCACCCCCUUUGUUGCCAGCCUCCAGUGAGGACAGCUGCUUGGUUAGCAGCACUCAGUAUCCACGUGUAAUCAUAAUUUGACAAAAAAGAGUUCAGGACAAGAAGUGUUACAAGUGGAUUCUCUUAAAAACGCAAUACAGUACAGAGACGGGGGAUAGCCAGAUACUUUCAGCAGCAGGUAACUAACGCGAGACUUUUCUUCAUAUAGCAAAAGAAUUUCGUGGCCUGAUAAGAUAGUAAUGAACUACAGAAUCCUCCAAGAGGUCCCAAAUUAACUGCAUAUAAUUCUCACUACUGAACUCAAUCUUAGCCCUUAAUUAGUGGAAUGAAAAAGGCCUUUAACAGAGGAUGUUAUCAAAGGCACCUAGGAGAGGCAUAAAAACAUGUUUUAAUUGUUCCUAUGUACCCUUUGUAUUGUGGAAAAAAAUACUACAGUUGAGUUAAGUAUUUAGCAAUUCACCUUGUGGAAACAUGAAAUAAGUGUUUCAUGAACAUGCUUACAAAAUAAAAAGUGUAUUAACAUAAAUACCUAAGUAAUAAAAUUGUUGAAUAUCUAACAGUUACUCAUUGUUUACCUCCUUUUUUUAACCUUAAGUGUUUUAUUUAGUUUUCAUCACGUUGUUCCCAGGUGAAAACAAUCAGUACAUAAAGUUUAGAAAUGAGGACAGUGGGAACACUAGAGACUGAAGUGAAAUUUGAACAGCUCUCAUAUUAUUGAUUAUGCAAUGAGUCUUUUUUGAGAAUUUACAUUAUAAAUAUGAUGUGGCAUAAUUUCUGUUAUUUUUGUUGUCAUUUGGUUUUUAACAUGAUUAUUUGUCAAGGAAUCAUAAAUCUGUUUAAUUUGCAAAUAAGUGAUCAUUUUAUAGGAGUUGCAUAGAAUUAACAAUUUUGAAAACAAUAUUUUCUGUGAAUUAGGAAAACAUAAUGCAGGACCUAAAAUUUAUAUUUAAUACCAACAGUGUGAAUCUGAAUUUUCACAGACUCAAAUUUUAGAAUUGGUGAUUAGAGAAAAGCUACUGCUAGUAGACUAUGUUAUCUUUAAUUUGGUACUGUUAUGUAGUUUACAAUUUUAGGCAAAAGUGUGAUUUAUUUAUUGUUGAGGCUAAUUAAAUAUAAAUAUAGUUAACACUACUAUUUUGGAUAAAAUUUUUUAUUAACUUUGUCACUGACUUGCAUGAUUCCUGGUUUUUAUUACAUUUCCAGUGUUUAGUAAACAAUUUCUCUGAGCAAUAAGAUUAAAGAUCAAGAACCCACCACACUUGCCUGAUUCCUGGAGAUCUGUGCUUUAUGUUAUUUUGGAGCUUUACCCAAGUGAGUUAGAAGGAUCAUCUCCACAUCUUUGCUGGUAUUCUGCCAACUGUUUCACAAGAAAAGGGUGAAACAGAAGGGGGAUGGCACUGAGAGGAAAGCUUUCUUUCAGCACCAAAUGACAGCUUUCUGCCUGGCCCUCAGAGGAACAUGGAGCAUUCGAGGAUAAGAAGGGAAGACAUUAGAGCACAGGCAAAGAGAUGAUGAUGCCACAGAAGAGAUACAAGAUGCACUUUUCAAAGAUACGGUGAAUAAAGCCAGUUUGGAUGAUUGAGCUCAUAAUUUUUAACUAAUGUCCACACUCAUAGUGUUUAAUUAGGGGAUCGAACUCAUGACUGCCUGCUUGCAAGGCAGGUGCUUAUGCCGCUGAGCUAAAUCCCCAGCCCCGAAAUAAUGAUUCUUGAGAAACAAUUUCCCAACAUAAUUCAAAUAGCGAAUAAGCAACAAGAAAAAAAUGAAUACAUGAAAAUAUAUUUAAGAUAUUCAGUUAUUUAAUCCUCUUCUGAAUAAAAUUUAGAGUCACAAUAGGAAAGAAGCAUAGAUUAGAAUUUAUUAAUUUUUCAACUACUAUUUUAAAAAGAUUUGAAAAACUUGUUGCUAAUUAGGAAAGUAAGUGAUCUCUCUCUGUCUCUCUCCAUCUCUGUAUAUAUAUAUAUAUAUAUAUAUAUAUAUAUAUAUAUAUAUGUAUUUAUAUAUAUACUAUAUAUAUUUAUACAUAUACAUAUAUAUUUACCUAUAGAUAGGUGAUAGAUAUGCUAGCUUACAUAUCAUAUAUGUGUGUUCAUAUUUAUCCCUGAAUUCAAAAUUAUCCCAAAUUGAUAAAAACAUAAGAUAAAAAGAGCUGUUCCUCAAAAAUGAAAAAGAAUCAAAUUACCAGUUGACACAUACUAAAUUCAUUUUUAUUACCUUUCAAAUAACAUUGAAAAUUUGGGCUUGCCUCCCUGCAUUAAGUGCUAUGCUGGUCAUGUGUAUAACUACAGGCUGAUAAAAUUAUCUACUUGGCUUAGCACAAUUUCUUUUAAUUGCUUGUUAAUGUGACAUAAUUUUAACUAGCUCUUUCAUUGCCAUUAAGCAAUGCAUCCUGUAAUCAUCAAUGUGCAAAUAUUUAUGUGUUACAUGUGACAUAGUUUGGAUUUAGAAUGCCUCAGAAAAGUUUAUGUUCUAAAGACAUGUUUCCACCAUAAAGUAUUGUUGAAAGGUGAUGGAAGCUUUAGAAUUUGAGGACUGAUGGAAAUAGGCCACUGAGGAUAUAAUGGACCCUGAUACAUCCCCCAGCUUACCGCCAUAAGGUUAGUGGCUUUGCUCCUUAUACAUGCCCUUUCAUGGCGCUCUGCCUCCCCAUACACCCAGAAAAAGAUUAGCCAAAUGAGUAUGGAUUAAAACCUCCAAAACCAUAAGAUAAAAAUUUUAUUUCUUUGAGUUGUCUCUGUCAGGUAUUUUGUCACAGUGAUAGAAAGUUGCAACAUAUGAUGAAAAUCAAUGGAAUAUUUGUAUGUUUUUAUUGAAAUCCAUAAUACAGCCCUCUUUUUCUUUGCACCUAUUCUCUAGAAAUUCUCUAGAAUUUCUCUAGAAUUCUAGAAAUUCUCUAGAAAAUCACAGAAGAAAUACAAAAUGAUAUUUUUGUAAACAUCAUUUAUCACAUUUGGUAAACUGAUCCAGAGAAUAUAAAAUUUAUGGCAGACACAUCCAGUUGAUUGUCUAAUAGCCAUUAUUUCAUCUCUUUCCUGGUAGUAAAAAUUUUACUCCCCGCCCCAGGUAUUGUGUUUCAUAAGCUCCUUCAGAGCUAUGGAAGAAGAACAGAGUGGGUGACAUAAAUGUUGUGCAAUGCACUCUUUAAGUGUGGGAAUGUAAUGCCACCAUAGCUAACUUGGAAAUAAUAUUUAAUAUAAUUUCUCACUAUAUAUGAUUGUCUUUUUUUCUAGUAAUGAAUGUGAAAGUAUGUGACACAUUUUCAGGUACUCAUAAUGCCAUUCUGAAGGUGGCUAUAAACAUACUGGGAAAAUAACUUAAGUAUUUGAAUAUUUUAUAUUGCUGUGGUUUUCACUUUCCUGAAAAUGCACAGCCUGUAAAUAUCAUGUCAUGUGAGUUAAUAUUCAUUUUAUUGUUUGUAUUAGCUACAUCAAAGAGAACAAAACUGACAUAAAACUGUAAAUCUGUGAAAAAACAAAGAAUUGCUUACCACUAUGAAACAUUUUGCUUCUCUUAAAAUACUAAGAAUGGCACCAAAGAAUAUUAUUUUGAUAUGGAAGACAAAUCUAGGCAUGAUGAUAAAUAUGCACACUUAUGCAUAGCAUAUGUAACAUUUGUCUAUGCCUAUUAAUGUCUAUGCACUUAAGAAAUACACUUUUUAUGCAUGCAGGUAUAUGAUAUAUCUUUAGAGCACAGACAAACUUUUGCAGACACAUGCCCUAAAUGAACAACCAUUAUAAGUAUAGAAAGGGUCACAAGGACUAGGAUGUAGAUUUCCUGAAAGUUUUCUAUAUAAUAAUGUGCAACUUAAAAAUAUUUAUUGCAUAUACUGAAUAUGUGCCAUAUGAGCAUGCAUUUAAUUAUUAAACAUUAAUAUAAAAAUUUAAUCAAUACAAAUAUGAAUGCAAACAUUAUCAAAUUAAUAAAGCUAAUUAUGCAAGUGUACAAUAAUGCUGCACAAUAUAUAAAACUGAAUAUGUUGUUUAAGAAUGAUAAACAUAUGAGCACUUAGCUAGAUUAUUACUUCUAUUAGAUUGUAGUAGAUUGCACACUAUCAAAUACUAAAGGUAAAGAAUAGGAUAAGAAGAGAAACUGCUUCGUAGGCCACGUGGAAGAUGUUUCUAGUCUCAUCCAUAUGAUUUUUACAUGUUUCAUGUCUGAGUUAUCAGGAAAGAGAAGGUCCACUUGCCUCCCAGGAAUCCAUCAAACACUGUCAGUCAUAGUCUCUUACUUCAUAUUCCAAAUUUAAAUGCCCUGAGCAAUCUUUAUCCUUAAUAGUUGAAAAGUUAAGGGUUAGCAUAAGAAGGAAGUGAGCACUAUAAUGAUUUAGGUACCCUUUGAUGUACUAAAGUGCUAAUUUACCAGAUGGUACCCUAGAGUUUUAAUACAUUUCUGGAGGUGCCUAAUUAAUCCCAUAUUAUAGCAAUUAACAAUAAAAUACUACUUUUGCUUCCAUAAAUUUUGGAGUGAAUUUUGUUAACAAUUUCAGUGAAAUAACCUAUAUUUUAUCAUUGCUUUACAUUUUUAAACACUGUUAAUCUAUUCAUAGGACUUUGUUGAUUCAUUUUUCAAGCUACUAAGUUAAUAUUAUUAAAUUAUGGAAGAAAAUGAAUCAUUACUAGCCUCAUGUUCAUGAUAUGACCUUACAGCUAAAUUGAAUCCCGGCAAUUCAGAUAAUAAGCCUAUUUUAAGAUGGCCUAAUACAAUAUGAAUUGUGCUAUAACUUGUUUCUGAAAAUUGCACAUGGAUUGAUUAGAAUAUGGGUUAGAAUGGUGUGACUUGUGCUAGACUAAAUCAUAAAUUUUAGUUAGGGUAAAAAAUAAAAACAAAGUAUGAAUUUGUAAUAAGAGUGGUAGGUAAAAUUACAAUUAAGUUGUGUCUAAUGAUUAAACUAGUAGAUAUAAUUAUAAAGUUAAAUUAAUACAACCAUAAUACUGAAUGUAUUAAUAAUAUAUUUGGUACUAUGAAGAUGCUAUUUUACUUUGAUAAAAUUUUAGAUGUGAGAGUUUUCUGUGCAUCAGAAUUGCUCCAAUUGACCUUUUUAAAAAAGUGAAUUAUGAACACUAAAGUAUCAGGGCCUUGCAAUGUUAACUUAUAAAGUCGUUUCAAUUCUUAUGGUUGACUUUGGUAAACUACUUAUUAAUUUAAUUCAGUUUUUCUCUGUAAUAUACUCUUCAUCACAGUUAAUACCAACUUUCUAUCACUUUAUACAGUUCUGAAGUUGAGACCAUGACAGCCCACAAGAUUGUUAAUUUAGUUCUUUAACAUCUCUCUCACCUAUAUGUGCCAUGUAUAUAUAUGGAUAUGUAUUUUAUUUCUAGUAUCUCUACCUCUGUAUUUUUUCUUUAUAAUAUAUUUAUUUUCUGGAUCUCUUGUUCUGACAUGCACAUUUAAAGGAAUCCUAACAUUUGACUCACAAUUUUUGAUGAUUUGCAGAAUAUUUCAUUGCUGGCUCACAUUUUCAUUUAUGUCAUUUGCCAUCAUUUAUACAUACAAAACAUGUGAUUGAGGAACUUCAAUUUGCUGCAAAGUGAGCAGAACUCAAUACAUGGAAAAGCUAGCCAGUCAUUUACAAUCUGAUUACAAGACCAAAGAGACAGACUCUUGCUUGGAAUAAGCUGGUAUGAUAUGAUUGUAGGAACAUGUUUGCGCUGAAUACUUUCUUUUUCUUUUUUCCAUACUAGACAUUGAAUUCUGGGCUUUUGAAUUGAGCUUUACAACCUUAGGUGACUGUAAUCAUUUACUUCCGUGUGUGUGUGUGUGUGCACGCACAUGUGCCUGUGUGUGCAUGUGGGUAUAUUAGACAUGGUGUCAGUAAGUCGUUAAGCUGCCCAGGCUGGGAUCGUACUUGAAAUCAUCCUGCUUACACUCAGAGAAGGCUGAAAUUACAGGUCUGUACUGCACUUAACUCUAAUGAACAUUUAAGAGGUAUAUAGUCUAAAUUAGAAUGCAUUAUAGUUGUGAAAUGUGCAGUGGAUUUCAAAUGCUUACGACACAAAAAAUUAAAAUGUGUAAAAUUAACUCUUUCUGAGUUAUGUCCUCAUAUGUAAUGCAUGGUUUCAGUCCAUACCUCUGCUCUGUGAGGUUCACACCUCUGUUCUCAGACUUAAUAUUUACUUACUUAUAUUCCAAUCUCUCCACAGUGGUUCAUAUGUAAUGUUUUACAGUAUAUUUAUUUUGCAACAUUAACAGUUGUGCUUGGCAGUUAUUAGAUUCUUAAAAAAAUUAAUCAAAUUUUAUUUUCUAAUAAGUAGUGCUUAUUUCACAUGUAAGUGAUAUAGACAUGUUGUAAAAAUUUUAUAAAUAAUUUAUUUUUCUAGCUUAGGAGAUAUUUUUACAAUCGGUAUCAUUUCUAGAUAUCUCUAUGUUUUCAUUUUAUCUAGACAGUAGUUACAAUGUUUUCUCUAAUUGCUGAAGAAACUCUCAUACCAAACUAAUUUCAAUUCCAUACAUUGUGUCAUCUUCUGUGUGUCAGCUUCUAUUUUAAGUGGCACAAAUAGGCGGCAAAUGAAGAAAACAACCCUGUUUCCAAGUAUUACAUUUGAGAUAGAGCAUGCAGAAAAAGCAAGAAAAAAUAAUUUAACUCAGAAAUGCAUCAACAACAAUAAAGUUAACCUUAGCUUUAGGUGAUAUGAUGAAGGAAGACAUCUGUGAUAAACUGAAUUUUAAACUGAGAAAUCUGCUGAAAAGGAACAGAAAUACAAUGAUAUCAUUAAAGCUCCUAGCUGAAAGAGGAAGGUAUAGGGGACCUGAAUCAUUAAUAGAGCUGGCCUGAAUGAGGAACACCAUGGAAACCAGAACAACUUGAGUAGCAUUAAGUGAUUAUGAGUAGAAUAGUGGACAAGGUCAAAUAAAUGGGCCAGCACAGCUCAUGGAUGGGCCUAUGCCUCAGGUGAGCAUUUGAAUAUACUUUGUAAGGGCAAUAUAAUAUUGUUCCUAUUUUUGACACAUUUGAAAAUAUAACAUUUAAAAUGUGUUAUUCCAUUGCAUAAAGGAUGAAUUUUAGCAGGUGUGAUUUGUUAAAAUCAAGGAGAUCAUUUAGAAAUUCUUUUAGUAAAACAAAGGCAGAAGGUGAUGAUUGAAAAAAAAAAACAUUUUCAGUGGAGAUGAAAUUCAGACAGUGUAAGUUUUUACGCAGUUUAAACCUUUGCCCUAUAUUUUGGUCCCACUAUGUAUUAACCAAAGAAUCUUGUUUUCAUUGAAUAUAUUUACACUUUUCUAAGGUAGAUUUAUACUAAAUUAUAUUUUUCUAUGCAUUUUUGGUAACCUUAGACAAGUAACUAUGAAGAAUGAAAUACUAAGACUGAUAAAUUAUUUUCUAAGCAUCAAAUUGUUAAUUAAUUGGGAUAGAAUUCCUCAUUUUGAAACUAUAGCACCACUUUUAAUGCAUAAUAUCACCUCUCCUUUACUAAAGAACCUAUCAGAUGAACAAAUUUAAAUUUAAUUGUGGCUUGUGUAAAGAUGCCUUCCCAGCUCUCAUGCAGUCAUUGGUGGGGCUUUUUCAGAGGUGACUGGAUCUAGAGUGCGGGAUGCUGGAAUUGAUUCACGGUGCAUUGCUAGGGCACUAGGAUUAAGGGUGUGAGUGCCACUCAUCCUAUUUUGUCCUGGAUGAGAUAUAAGGGAUAGAAAGAGCUAUGGGUGUCCCUUCUUGCUUUUCUACCUGAACCCUUCCAUGAACUGUUUUUCCUCCCCGGUGCCUGUUGACAUGACACCUCCCUUGGAGCCAGCCAAUUACAGACUCAAAUCUUUUAACUGUGGGCUAAAGGUAUGUUUCCUCCUUUAUUUGGCUGCUGAGUAUUUUCUCUCAGCAACAAGUACAGUAACUAAGACACUAAUGAGCAGGUUUAAAUUAAUACUGAUUUAUAGAUACAGAAAUGCACAUUCGCACAUUACAUGCAUACCUUGUAAAAUAAAGAAAAGAUGUGAUCUAGGUCAUUCUCAUCUGAAUCCCUGCCAUCCCCUUAAAUGUGUCACUCAUGGCUUGCCAUUGUUAUAGGAUUCUGGGGCAUUCAGUUCACACAGUGCAAGGAGAUCAUUAAGCUUAGACCCCUUCAGUUUGCAAGCUCUUCCUCAAGAGUUCAAGUUUCACUACUUCCCUUCUUUACCCUUCUUCAGCAUCCUCAGAGGUUGGAUCCUUCAUCUCUGCUCUAAACUCAAUCCGCAUAAUAAUACAUUGCUGAAGCUUAUAAAUUUCUUUGACUUUGUUUUCCCCACAGACACAAAAUGCCCCCUUUUGCCUUUCUCACCUAAUUAUAUGUCUUCUCCAUCAAAUCUUAAUGUUUUAGGAACAUAUCUAUAUCAAAUAUUCCUACACUUUGUGGUGACAUGUGUCUCUGCUGGGCUGCUAGGGGUCCUUAAACAAGUCUAUGCCGUAGUUGUCUGCACAAUGUCACUGUUUGGAGCCUCCUGUGUCCGUGUGUGCAUGUGUGCAUGCACGUGUGUAUAUGUGUGUGUGUGUAAACAAUGUUGAAUGAUUAAAUGGACCAUGGUUUUGUCAAGAAAUAUGACAUAUAUUUAUUAACGACAAUAGAAGUGGAUAUAAUAAUAAGAAUAGCUCAAUAAGAAUUGAUUUUAAAACAUUGUGUCAUAUAGAAGUUAACUACAAUGCCCUCACUUUAGCUACUUUUAUUACUCUUCUUCUUUGUGGAGACAAAAAUAACUUUUGAUCAAACUUAAAAAUCAUAAUUAAAUCACUUUGAGUAGCUGUCUCCUCAGAAAGUUUUUUCAAGUCAUUAUGUAAGCCUUACUAAUGCAAAAGGAAUAACAAUAUAUAUUUGAAGUUUCAAAUAUUAUUUGGUAAAAUAAAUCCUUUUCAUCAUUAAGAUCACAGGCCCCAUAUGUGUUUAUUUCUAAUCAGUUUUAUUUUAAUUGAGUUUAUCUGAAAUCUAUCUUCUUAUUCUUAAUAGUGUAUUGAAUUUUUCAUCUGCCAUUUGACCUGUUACCAAAGGAAAUAUAUCUGCUUGCUCACCUAUGAAUUUAAUAUUAAAAUUUGUCACAACAGUAAAUUUUAACAGAGAUUUGAGAGUUAAGAAGAAAUGGUGAAAUACAGUUUGAGGGCAAAUCCUUAAAAUGAAGACUUUCCAGUGACCUUUUAUUGAUAUAUUGUAAUUCCUCUUUGUCCUCCAUCUAUGAAUAAAUUUCAAAUUUUCAAGUUAUUAAGUUAUUUAAGCAAUUGAUUUGGGUAAUUUCAUGUUUCACUAGUUUUAUGACACAAAAGUUUUACAGUUCACUGUCAUCUAUCAUUAAAUUUUUUCAUCCAGUCAUUUCUAACAUAAACGCAUGAUAGAAUAUUUUCUUGCUGAAUUCUCCUGUCAAGUUUGAAAAGUCAGUUCAAAGAGCUAUAGCUGGGAAAUGGGAGCAUAAUUUCUUAUAUAAAUUAUGACAGCUUAUUAGAAAUGUGGAAAUUUUAAUGUAUAAGCACCUUAUCUAAUAUCAUAUGCCUUUGUGCUGCCAAGAAAUAAUUAUCAGAGGAAAUAUUUUCCUUUAUAUUUUUCUAUUUUGUAUUCUUUGAACAAGUAUUGCAUGGACAGUUUACUCACUAGCUUAGAAAUAAAGUUUAUCAGAGCAACAGUGGAAGUUUGGACACUAAAAAGAAAGAAGAAUAUAACAAUUAAUGUUGGAAGCAGUGAAAGAAAAAUUAUUUGCCAAACAGAGGGCUCGAUCCACUGCACGAUAUAUUGAAUCUCUGAGUUGUUAAAAAAAUUGACCAUUUGUCACUUACUAACAAGAUCUAGCAGUUCUUUAAUUUUUCACAUGUGCCCAGUUUGUCUACAAGCUAACAGAUGACAAAUUAUCAUUGUGAUUAUAUAUUUUUAAAAUUACACGAGACAAAUAGUAUAUUGGAGAAGUUAGUUAAUUUAUACUGUCAGUAGAGUCACUAAUUUGAAGAAAAAAAUCAAUCUGAACCCAGUAAUUAUGUUUUAUACCUUAAGCCACAAACUCCAAUUUACAGAUAAUCCUGAAAAUAUUUUAAAAUUCUCUUUAAAAUCUAAAAUUUUGAAUAAAGUAAAAUAAAGAAACAAACAUAAAAUAGUUCCAAUUUUUCAGAGUAGGUGAAACUUGGAAACAGAUUUAACAAAACACUCACUAAAAACUAAGAACUGCUUCAGAAAGUGACGAGAAUGGUGGAAGAAAUAUGUUUAAAGGAAAGGAGAGAGUUUAAUGGGAAUUAAUGUUUAUGUGCUUUUUACAGUGAUAGUUUUACAAAUUUAAAUGUAUACCUUAUUUGUUGAUUAUAUUAUGUACACUAAAAUUAAUAAACAAUUUGAGGGAUCCGCAGGGAGUAAUAAAAUGAAUUUUGUUUUUCAAUUAUAUUCAUUGGAUAUUUAUAUUCAAUUGUAUUCCUCUGUAGAGAUGUUAAAUGCAGAGCUACAACACAAUUUUCAACAUUUUUUUGUUGAUUUUAUGAAUAAGACAAGUUAUCUUCACUAAACACAAAUAGCAAAAUCUUAAUAAUUCAAAGCAAAGCAAGUGUUUUCAAAUGCAAAGUUUUAAGUGAUAAAUCAAAAAAGGAUCAAAUUAUACUUUUAAUAAGAUAUUAACAAAACAUUAUUAAAUUUUUUGCCAAAAGUGAAACUUUUCUUUGAUCUUUGUCUGUAAAUCUUACCAUAUAUUUUAAAUAGCUACUGAAUAUUUCAUUAUAAUUAAAUGUCAUUCUAGAUAGCAUGUUUUACUGAUUAGCAUGAAACACACUCUAGAUUGAGAAAACUCCAUAUUCUUUUGAAUGACCUUAUAGCUUAUAACCUUUUGAUAUUUUUGGUUACUAGCCUAUUAUACAGUUUUAUAAACUUUAAUUAAAAAGUUGAGCAAUGCGUAGUCUUCCUUUGAUGGUGAAGAUACAUGAUAUACUAUACUACUUUGAUCACCUUUUAUCUAAAAUUCAAAAUUAUAACAUGAUUUUUGUAAGGAAAUUUAUCUCUCCUUUAUGCAUUCUUUUAACUGCAGCCAACAGUACAACACACAGAAACACACACAAGCCACACAUUUGCCAAGUAUGUCCUGCUAUUUUAUUUGUCUUCACAUUGUUAGCAUUUGUAUGUGUGUGUGUGUGUGUGUGUGUGUGUGUGUGUGUGUGUGUGUGUAUUUUACCAGGAGUCACUAGAGUAAAAUGAUAUGGAGAAUGUAUAAUUUGCUUGCAUUCACUUUUCUUCAUCUAUUCUAUUAAUGGAACAGUUCAUGGAUAUGACUAUGUAGUAAUUAAUGUGGAAAGAUACAAUAGAUUUACUAAUCUUCAGGAUAAUAUUGUCAACUCACUGACCUAUAAGCAAUGCAUUUAUUAUCAUCCCCAUGUUAAAGACUACUUUUAUAUUUCUGUUUUUCCCUUGGUUUGAAGUAGAGCAUCAGCAAAGUCUAAUGCAGGGGAAAGUCUAACAUAAAGCAACUUAUUUGGGAAUACUAGUUAUUGAUCUUGAGCUACUUGAACUGCCUCUGAAAUGUUAUAUCUCUUUUGCUCUAACCAGUGCCACAUACUUUUUUCUUUUUCUUUUUUUCUUUCUAGAGAAACAAGACAUUUGGUUAGAAAAAACAUUAAUUUUUAGAAUGUAAUAAUGUACGAUUACAAAAAAUCUUCACUGCUAUCUACUAAUUUUGACUUUAUACUUGGAAAUAGUGUAGUUUUGCUUUGAAUUGAUAAUUUGGUUGAUUUUGACUUUAGAGUCUUUGAUUAUGGUGAGGAACAGAAUAUCAAAAUAUCAUACUUAAAUAAAUUUAGACUAUUUAAUGUGAUUGAAACCCUCUUUGAGUACACAGUUGACCAAUUUUCAAGGGUGCAGUAGUCUGUAUUUACCUGAAUUUUUACAACUAUAAAAUAAUUUAAUCAUUUGCAGUAACUAUACAGAGCAAAUAUAAUUUUUCUAAAUAUAAAAUAUCAUUAUAACAUACAGAAGUAAAUAUUAUAUUGCUAUAAAAAUACAAAAAUAUAUUUAUGAAUAUUUUGGGACCUAAAGUAUAACUUAUAAAGUCAUGGGAUGUUUAUGCUGUUUUUUACUUUGUAUAUAGUGUGUAUUCUUCAAAAGGAAUAGCAAAUUAUUGACCAGUUACAUAAAUUGUGCAAUCAAUGCAUAACUAUUAAUAAAAGCAUAAUAUCAACUAUUCAACAAGGUCAAUUUUGUACUUUGUAGUAGGAAACCCAGAAGGUAAUAAUAAAUAUCACAAUGAAACAUCAUCAGUAGAAAAAUGUUAGAAAGUUUUAAAAUUCUACAUUUUUAAAUAUAUUCUAAGUAUAAAAUUUCAAUGAUAAAAAAUUUCUUGACAAAAAUGAAUCCAGAAUAACUGAAUAGAUAAAUGGACUCUUCGAUGGUAUAUAGACUGCAGUGUCCUCUGAUUAAAUGUAUGUGACAGCACCGAGUGUAGUUUGGUUAUUGCAUUUACUUUCAGAGUGCUUCCAGUUCUUACAAUAAUCACUAGUUUUGCAUUCUCAAAAAUGAACCCUGAAGAAUGACUACAGUGUUCGUCAUUUUGUUUUAUGGUACUCAUGGCCUUAUGGCAUUUGUUCUCCCUUCGGGAGUUUGAAGUUAGUAGAAAACAUUUAACAAGGAAUUGCAUCCAAGGUCCGUUAAAGGCACUAGAUUUUAUACUUUGCCCUUUUUUUCUUCAGCAUUCACACUUUGCCUAGCAUAUUUUUAGAGUUAGGAGAAAUUCAUGGAGAAUCAGCCUAAAAAUAUUUAUUUUAAUACUGUAAAAUUUAAAUGAACUUCCAGUCACUUCCCAAAUGUGUUACAGGAAAAUUUGGAUAAGACUGAAUCUAUAAAACAAAAGAUUGAAGGGGGGAAGCAGAGAAAUCAAUAGUAAAAAAAUAACUAAUUGAGUCUUUUACAUGUAUCACCUCCUCAUGAUGAAUUUAAUCAUUUUAUAAAGACUUUGUGCAUACAUAUGCACAUUUGUAAAUAUACAAACACAUUAAUUUGUUUGUAUUUAUCUUAAUUAACAAGAUAUUUUUGUAAUCAAUUUUAAUAAACUAUUUCUUAGAAAAACACAAAAAUUAAAUGAAAGUUACAAAUUCUUGAAAGCUUUUCUCAUCAUAUUUAUACAAUCUUUAUACUAUUAAUAUGCCUCACCAGAGCAUUAUAUCUGUAGAUGUUUAUGAAACUAUGUAUAUAAACCAUUAUUACUAUAUCUACAACUUACUUUUGAAUUCAUUCUGGAAGUUGUAUAUUCUAAAGAUUAAGACAAUAUAUGACCAUAUACACUUCAUCAGAACUCAAUAUUUUAUCACCCUAAAUAUCCUUUGCUGGCUAAGUAUCCCUCUCCCUCAAGCUCUAAUCAUUUCUGAAAACCAUUAAUCAUUUUACUGUCCUUGCAGAUUUCAGUAUUCCACAAAGUCAUAGAGUUGGAAUUAGUAUGUUGAAAUAUUUGUUUGAGUACUCCAGAGGAACAGCAUAAGUAGAAAAUACAAACACUUAUUCAAGAGGAUUUUUUUAGUAAGGUUACAGAAUGAGAAGCAGAAAAGUUCACAGUGAUUAUCUGUGUGAGGGAGAACUGGAAGAUACAGAAGUUGUUCAACCCAGGAUGAUGGACAAGAAGGAUCAAGGACACAGCACCAGUCCAAGAUCAAAAGCCUGGAAACUGACUAGCGUGACAUCUGUGUAAGUCUGCACUGGAAGGCUGAAGAAAGUAGAAACCGACAACCAAAGGUGAUGGGAAUCUUAGAGCUCUUCCAAACAUGUGACUAUAAGCAUUUUUAAAUGCAUGUUGUCAUUUAUCAUUGUGUUUGUUGACACUUUUGCUCAAGUCUUUUGCCUAUUUUUGCAGUCAGAAUUUUUUUCUUACUGUUAUUAUAAAGGAGUGCUUGCACAUUUUGGAAUAUUGCUUUCAUUAGAGGUUUACUGAAGAAACAUUUUCUCUCAGUCUGUGGGGUUGUGGCUUCAUUUUCUUAUUGUUGUCUUUUGCAUGGCUGGAGCUUUCAGUUUUAAUAAAGUGAGUGUUUUCAACUA